rnacentral:rRNA from 1 species
UACGGAAUGUGCAAACGUUAUUCGGAAUCACUGGGCUUAAAGAGUCCGUAGGCGGCAUGUUAGGUGAGGUGUGAAAUCCCACGGCUCAACCGUGGAAUUGCGCUUCAAACCGGCGUGCUUGAGGAAGAUAGAGGUGGGCGGAACUGAUGGUGGAGCGGUGAAAUGCGUUGAUAUCAUCAGGAACACCGGAGGCGAAGGCGGCCCACUGGGUCUUUUCUAACGCUGAGGGACGAAGGCUAGGGGAGCGAACGGG